AUUGAACGCUGGCGGCAUGCCUUACACAUGCAAGUCGAACGGCAGCACGGGAGCAAUCCUGGUGGCGAGUGGCGAACGGGUGAGUAAUAUAUCGGAACGUGCCCAGUCGUGGGGAUAACGUAGCGAAAGCUACGCUAAUACCGCAUACGAUCUAUGGAUGAAAGCGGGGGAUCGCAAGACCUCGCGCGAUUGGAGCGGCCGAUAUCAGAUUAGGUAGUUGGUGAGGUAAAGGCUCACCAAGCCGACGAUCUGUAGCUGGUCUGAGAGGACGACCAGCCACACUGGGACUGAGACACGGCCCAGACUCCUACGGGAGGCAGCAGUGAGGAAUAUUGGACAAUGGGCGGCAAGCCUGAUCCAGCCAUGCCGCGUGCAGGAUGACGGUCCUAUGGAUUGUAAACUGCUUUGUACAGGAAGAACACUGGUUCGUGUAACCCGGCUUGACGGUACUGUAAG
rnacentral:rRNA from 1 species